CAGAGGUUACUGCUAUCGAGAKUCGACUAAGCCAUGCGAGUUGAAUGUUCUUCGUGAACAUGGCGGACUGCUCAGUAACACGUGGACAACCUACCCUUGGGUCCGGCAUAAUCCUGGGAAACUGGGAAUAAUUCCGGAUAGGUCACCGAUGCUGGAAUGCGCGGUGGCCGAAAGCUCCGGCGCCCGAGGAUGGGUCUGCGGCCUAUCAGGGUUGUAGUGGGUGUAACGUACCUACUAGCCUACGACGGGUACGGGUUGUGAGAGCAAGAGCCCGGAGAUGGAUUCUGAGACACGAAUCCAGGCCCUACGGGGUGCAGCAGGCGCGAAAACUUUACAAUGCGGGAAACCGUGAUAAGGGGAUCUCGAGUGCCAGCAUAUAAUGUUGGCUGUCCAGAUGCCUAAAAAGCAUCUGUUAGCAAGGGCCGGGCAAGACCGGUGCCAGCCGCCGCGGUAACACCGGCGGCCCGAGUGGUAACCGCUAUUAUUGGGUCUAAAGGGUCUGUAGCCGGCCAGGUAAGUCCCUUGGGAAAUCUGGCAGCUCAACUGUCAGGCUGCUAGGGGAUACUGUUUGGCUUGGGACCGGGAGAGGUGAGAGGUACCUUGGGGGUAGGGGUGAAAUCUUGUGAUCCUCGAGGGACCACCAGUGGCGAAGGCGUCUCACCAGAACGGGUCCGACGGUAAGGGACGAAAGCUAGGGGCACGAACCGGAUUAGAUACCCGGGUAGUCCUAGCCGUAAACGAUGCUCGCUAGGUGUCAGUCACGGUGCGACCGUGAUUGGUGCCGUAGGGAAGCCGUGAAGCGAGCCACCUGGGAAGUAUGGCCGCAAGGCUGAAACUUAAAGGAAUUGGCGGGRGMRCACAUWCMACGGGUGGAGCCUGCGGUUUAAUUG
rnacentral:rRNA from 1 species